rnacentral:rRNA from 1 species
UACGUAGGGGGCAAGCGUUGUCCGGAUUUAUUGGGCGUUAAGAGCGUGUAGGCGGCCUGAAUGGUCAGCUGUGAAAACUCGAGGCUCAACCUCGAGACGUCGGUUGAAACCAUCUGGCUAGAGUCCGGAAGAGGAGAGUGGAAUUCCCGGUGUAGCGGUGAAAUGCGCAGAUAUCGGGAAGAACACCCGUGGCGAAGGCGGCUCUCUGGGACGGUACUGACGCUGAGACGCGAAAGCGUGGGGAGCGAACAGG